CCGUUGAAGGUUUAUUUCAAAAUUAGGUCUUAAAGUCAUUUUUUGAUUUUUGAGAUUUGAUUUUUGAUUUUACGCCUUCGGCGUGUGUGAUUCCCAGAGUAGUGGCGAGCGAAAUGGGAAAAGUUCUGAUUGUGAGAAAUUUAAUUUGUUAGUUGAAUGAAUCUGGAAAGGACGACCAUAGAGGGUGAUAGUCCCGUAAACAAAAAUUUAUUAAAUUAUCAAACAAUUGUUCUAAUUUGAUUUAUCAUUUUAGGGCUGAGUACUGUCGGACACGUGAAACCCGGCAGGAAUAAACGAGGAUCAUCUCGUAAGACUAAAUACAUCUUCUAACCGAUAGUGAACUAGUACCGUGAGGGAAAGGUGAAAAGUACCCCGCAACGGGGAGUGAAAUAGAACCUGAAACCAUAUGCUUACAAGGAGAUAGAGUCCCGCCUCGGCGGGAUGAUAUCGUGCCUUUUGAAGAAUGAGCCAACGAGUUGUCGAUUAUUGCAAGCUUAACCCCGCUCAGCGGGGGUAGGCGUAGCGAAAGCGAGUACUAACUGUGCGCCAUACAAGUAAUAAUCGGCAGACCCGAAACCGGGUGAUCUACCCAUGAGCAGGAUGAAUCCACUGUAAAAGGUGUGAGGAGGUCCGAACCUACCAGUGCUGUAAAGCUGGGGGAUGACUUGUGGGUAGGGGUAAAAUGCCAAUCGAACCCGGAGAUAGCUGGUUCUCCUCGAAAUAUAUUUAGGUAUAGCGCCCAUCGAAAGCUGGCAGGUAGAGCACUGGUUUGUGUUCGGCGGCGAAAGCUGUCGGCACGAGUCAAACUCCGAAUAGUCAGUGUUAUUUGAUGAGGCAGUCAGUCCGUGAGGGCUAAGCUUCAUGUGACGAGAGGGAAACAACCCAGAUCGCCAUCUAAGGUCCCUAAAUCUAGCUAAGUGGGAAAGGAAGUUAAUUUCCCCAGACAACCAGGAGGUUGGCUUAGAAGCAGCCACCCUUUAAAGAGUGCGUAACAGCUCACUGGUCGACUGGAAAUUAGCGCCGAAAAUUUAACGGGGCUAAGCUAGAUACCGAAGAUGCGAAUCCCGCCUUUGGCGGGAUGGUAGAGGAGCGUCCCAACGACGUUGAAGCGGAAACGUGAGUAACCGUGGAGUACAUUGGGAGUGAGAAUGUUGGCAUGAGUAACGAAUUAGUCAGAUGAGAAUUCUGACCACCAAAUAUCUAAGGUUUCCCCCGCAACGAUCAUCGACGGGGGGUUAGUCGGGAGCUAAGGCAUAUAAAGUGUCGAUGCACAACAGGUUGAUAUUCCUGUACCGAUCUAAAUUUGGUUUGUAGUGACGCAUUGUCAAGCUUGAUAGCAGUUUUGGAUAUAUUGUUAUUAGGGGAGAUGGUGACAAGAAAAACUAUAAAUCGUUAAGUUUAGAUUGUCCGUACCGUAAACCAACUCAGGUAGAUGGGGCGAGAAGCCCAAGGUGAUCGAAAGAACCCUUCCUAAGGAACUCGGCAAAAAAGCGAUCGUAACUUAGGGAUAAGGUCUACCCGAUGUAAAAAUCGGGUCGCAGCGAAAGUUUUUCAGGCGACUGUUUAUCAAAAACUUAGGUCCGUGCAUAAUGCUUAGUGCUGAAGUAUACGGGCUGAUGCCUGCCCAGUGCCGGUAGGUUACGGGGAGGAGUGAUAUUUGACGCAAGUCAGAUUGAGCUUCGAACUUAAGCCCCGGUAAACGGCAGCGGUAACUAUAACCGUUCUAUGGUAGCGAAAUUCCUUGUCGGGUAAAAAAUGGAAUUUGCCCGAAUAGUGUCGUGAGACGCUAUGAGUAAUCUGGCUAAUAACGGGGAAACCCUGAACAGGUAAUCCCGUGGGAAGUCUCCCGCCUUUGGUGGGAUGACCCCGUAACGACUGAGUCGAAAGACGAGAUCCCACUUUAAUGGGAUAAUACGCCAGCUCUUAUUAAUAAACAGUAUGCUACGAAGCUCAAGAAAGGAGUAUAAGUGGAAAUAGAGUCUUAUAUUACUGGUUUGACUGAGGGAGAAGGUUGUUUCUGUGUGUCAUUUAAUCAGAGAAAAAGAUUAAAUACUGGCAUAGAAGUACGACCAAGUUUUUCAAUAAGUCAAAACAAAAAAAAUCUUAAUUUAAUGAAGAAAAUCCAAUCUUUUUUUAUAUGUGGAAGUAUCCGUUUUUCGAAACGAGACAAUACUUAUAAAUAUGAAGUUAGAAGCAUUGAUGAUUUGAUCAAUGUCAUAAUUCCUCAUUUUAUAAAGUACCCACUAAUUGGAAUUAAAGCGACAGAUUUUCAAAAAUUUGCUGAAAUAUGUAAAAUGAUUAGAUCAAAUUUACAUCGAAGUAAGAGUAGGCUAGAAGAGUUAAUUGAUUUAGCUUAUGAGAUUAAUUUAGGUAAAAGACGAUACAAAAAAGAUGAGCUUCUAAGGCAUAUAAUAAGAUGAAGAGAUAGUCUGAUUAUUUAUUUUGAUAAAUAAAUGAAGUUCCGACCCGCACGAAUGGCAUAACGGUCUGAAAACUGUCUCGGGAAGGGGUUCGGUGAAAUUACACUACCGGUAAAGAUGCCGGUUACCCGCAGCAAGACGGAAAGACCCCGUGGAGCUUUACUAUAACCUGGUAUUGUUUUAUUUUAUUUUCUGCUGAGGAUAGGUGGGAGGGACGUGCUUCGCACGGAAAUCCUAAUUUCUAAUUUCUAAUUU
rnacentral:rRNA from 1 species